rnacentral:rRNA from 1 species
UACGUAGGGUGCGAGCGUUGUCCGGAAUUAUUGGGCGUAAAGAGCUCGUAGGCGGUCUGUCGCGUCGAUCGUGAAAACUCGGGGCUCAACUCCGAGCUUGCAGUCGAUACGGGCAGGCUAGAGUUCGGUAGGGGAGACUGGAAUUCCUGGUGUAGCGGUGAAAUGCGCAGAUAUCAGGAGGAACACCGGUGGCGAAGGCGGGUCUCUGGGCCGAUACUGACGCUGAGGAGCGAAAGCGUGGGGAGCGAACAGG